CCUAGAAUAAAUCUAGGGCGUAGCCUGCCCAAUGAUCUAAGAAAUAACGCAACCGUUUGAAAAAAGAUUAAAAGGAUGCAGUAUACUAACUGUGAUAAUGUAGCAUAAUCAUUUGCCACCUAAUUAGUGGAUAGCAUGAACGGCUAAACGAAUCCUUAACUUUCUAAAAAAGAAGAAAAAUAAAAUUAAAAUAAUAGUAAAGAUGCUAUUUAAAACUGUAAGACGAAAAGACCCUAUAGAGCUUAACUAUAAUUUCUUAAAAUAGAGAAAUUGGUAGUUUAGUUGGGGCGACUACCUUUUAAACAAAACAAAGGUAAGCAAGAUUAAUGAUUAAUUUAUUGUAAAAUAAAUAAAUUUAACAAUUACUAAAGUAGGCCAUAUAGACCCGUUCUAAUCAAACAAUAAAAAGAACGAUCAAUAAAUAAAAGCUACCUUAGGGAUAACAGGAUAAUUUUGUUAUAGAGAUCCCAUCGAAAACAAAGUUUGUCACCUCUAUGUUGAAUUAAGAUAACCUGACAAAGCAGAAUCUGUCAAAGGUAGGUCUGUUCGACCUUUAAAAU
rnacentral:rRNA from 1 species